rnacentral:lncRNA from 1 species
GUUCCCUCCACGCCGGGUUGUUCCCGUAAACAAUGAACGAAUGUCAGCAUGUUUACCUUCGAGGGAGUUUUACAAAAACAACGUUCCUGCUUCCUUAAGCUACUAGAUAAAAAUAUAGACAUAGAUCUGGCUUUGGUGAAACCAGAAAAAAGAAACCCCAACAAUUUGUGCUGAGACCAAGAGGAUACAUCUGUUUCCUGAAUCAACCAGAUCAAAUGAGCAGUGCAUCAAACGCCGCCUGUGCUGAGACU